AAGUCGUUACAAGGUUUCCGGAGGUGAACCUGCGAAGGAUCAUUAACACGUAUCCAAACGUUAAAACCCCCCCCGUGAACCUUCAUCCUGCUCUUGUAACCCGCGUAGUUCGCAAUCUCUGAUAAAUCAUAGCCCGGAAAGUUGUAGUGAUUCAGAGACCUCUGGCUACGUGCGAACAUUGGAACAGUUACAAUCGAGCGGUAGUUCUAUAGGCAAUGUUUCCCCAAGGGCAGGAGCUUUCCCAAAGGGUCCCCAUGCCCCCUAAUAACCCCACAGUUUAAUGUGAAGCUCAAUGUAAUACAUUGGGUAAAAAAACCGAACAACGGUUAACAAUGGAUAUCUUGGUUCUC
rnacentral:misc_RNA from 1 species